rnacentral:rRNA from 1 species
AAUAUUGGAUUAGGGGGUCAACGCUGAUCUAGCCAUGCCGCGUCUGUGACGAAGGUAUUCGGAUUGUAAAGCACUAUAAGUUGUGAGGAGGGGCAUACGGUUAAUACUCUGAAGUUUUGACGUUACCAUCUGAAUAAGCAUCGGCUAACUCCGUGCCAGCAGCCGCGGUAAUACAUAGGGUGCAAUGGUUAAUCGGAAUUACUGGGCGUAAAGGGCGAGGUGGUUGUUUAGUAAGAUAGGUAUGAAAUCCCCGGGCUUAACCUGGGAAAUGCUUUCAUAACUGCUGAGCUAAAGUACGGUAGAUGGUAGUUGAAUUUCCUGUGUAGCGGUGAAAUGCGUAGAAAAAGGAAGGAACACCAGUGGCGAAGGCGACUACCUUGACUGAUACUGACACUGAGGUGCGAAAGCAUGGGGAGCAAACAG